rnacentral:lncRNA from 1 species
GUGAUGGGGAGUAAUAAUGCCUAGUACAGAGUUGUCAGAAUGCAACAAUUUAACACACAUGAAAAUGCCUAUCGUGCUAAAGUAAAUGUUGAAAUUAAAAAAUAAAAAUAAAAAGAACAGACCAGGCACAGUGGCGCAUGCCUAUAUCCAGACACUUUUGGAGGCCAAGACAAAAGGAUCACUUGAGCCAGGAGUUCAACACCAGCUUGGACAAAACAGGGUGACUCCUGUCUCUACUAAAAAAAAAAAAAAUGAUUACCCAGGUGUGGUGACACGUGCCCAUAGUCCUAGCUACCUGGGAGGCUGAGAUGAGAGAAUUGCUUGAGCCCAAGAAGUCAAGGCUACAAUGAGCUGUGAUUGGGCCACUGCACUCCUGAGCAACAGAGUGAGACCCUGUCUCAAAAAAAAAUUAAGAAAAGAACUAAGAAAAUUACAGCCCACUGCUAACCUAUAAAGUUAGACUCAUGAUGUCAAAGAAAAUAGCCAGAAAGAAUUCUGGUGGAAUGAAUGACAUAUCAAAUUUAGAAUGCCAGUGUUUGUGUUCUCACAUGUGGAACAGGCUUUUCACAUCAUCAGAAAAAACGCUGUCUAAUGGCUAUGCCAAUAACGUGUGAGAUAAGAGGAUAUUGUCCUCCAUGUCAGGCUGUCUUUCUUAGCAACUUCCUGGAAAGUUACAAACAUUUAUACCUUCAAAUAAGAAGUCCAUCCUUAAAUAAUUGGCUGAGGUCACACCACUGGAGUCAAACAGUUGCAACCUGUCUGAGAGUCAUGAGGAAAUCAGGCAAGAGGAAACGGUGUCGCCUUCUAAGUCCACUCAGGCAGUAGAGGAGGGGAGAAAGAAGAUAAAUGUGCUCAAAAGAAAGUCUGCGAGACAGAUACAUGAGAGAAGCUCCCUGAGGCAGCGCAGAAUUCUGGACUCUGCUUAGAUUCUAAUCCUAAGUCUGCUUCCAACUUACU